GAUGAAGAACGUAGCGAAAUGCGAUACUUGGUGUGAAUUGCAGAAUCCCGUGAACCAUCGAGUCUUUGAACGCAAGUUGCGCCCGAAGCCAUUAGGCCGAGGGCACGCCUGCCUGGGCGUCACACGUCGUUGCCCCCCCCAUCUACUCCUUCGGGAUUGCGGGGGGCGGAUGAUGGCCUCCCGUGCGCCUCGCCGCGCGGUUGGCAUAAAUGCCAAGUCCUCGGCGACGCACGCCACGACAAUCGGUGGUUGCGAAACCUCGGUUGCCCGUCGUGUGCGGUCGUCGCGCAUCGAGGGCUCGAAAAAAUUGCCGAGUUCCGGCUCGGCUUUCAACGCGACCCCAGGUCAGGCGGGGUUACCCGCUGAGUUUAAGCAUAUCAAUAAGCGGAGGA
rnacentral:misc_RNA from 1 species